UUGUUUGUCUCUUGUGUGAUCUAUGUAUCGCUCCUGAUGCACACUGGUCAUUCUUGAGCUGGAGGCUUUAUUAAACACGUUGGCUUUGUACUUGUGCUUGUGUCCGGCUUCUCCCUCUGGCUCGCCUGACAAGUGUGUGGCUCCAUAUUAGCUAGUGACUGAGAUGAAUGCAGCAGUGGAACAAGAAUUUAAAGACUUCUCUGAACUCACCUGGGCACCUGAAUCAGCAGGAGCACAAAGGAGUCGGCCAGCUGGAGCUUGGAGAUGUCGCCUGUUAGCUUCAGCAGCUGUUUAAGAGGCUCCAACCCAAAGGAGUCACUGUUGCCAUGGCGAAUAUCAUCUACUAUCGCCUGAUUGGACCUGCAGG